CUCAGUAAGGGGACUGAGGAGGGUUACAUGACCAGAAAGGGUGAGCAGCUCAGGGAAACUACAACUUAACUCUGAGCAAGAGUAGUUAGGCCCUGAUUGCCUAAUGAAGGGGAGCUCCUGCCUUCAAGAGUGGCUGCAGGGAAUGUGGAAACUGCAAGAGGACUUUGUAGCACAUAGAGACCUGAGUCUGAAAGGAAUGGUGUACAAAAUGGUGUCUGCCUUCAACGACAGAACACGAAGAGUACUGCAACAGACACCUACAUUACAUUUGCAAGAUCAACUUCAGAAGGACUAGCUACAAAGGGAAGGCAAAAUGAUGAUGGGCAACCACAGGGUAGAAACAAAGGCACACAUUUUCUGCCAUUGCUAAAAGAAGAUGCUCUCCAGGAUGAAAACCAAUAAAGCACCACUGGGGAAACUGAAGCAGUGAUGAUGAACCUGCUACAAAUUCCAUUGUCUUAACAAACUUACUCCUGACUCCCACCGCUGAGAGAAGAGGAUUCGUGUUAGGAGUCCAUAAGUCUCAAAAUAGUCUAUAAAUAUCAGUGAACAUGAGACUUUUUUUGCUCUUGGUUCCAGCAGGAUCAUGACUCCAUUUCUCCUUGCUAAGUGCAAGAAGCCAAAUGACAAGCCCCUUCUCAAAAGAGGAACAAAAACAUCCCUGCUGAAUUCAUUUUGGUUUAUUGUGUGCCACUCCAGAUUUUAUAUGGAGGUGUUUUAUUAUUUGUAAGCAAGCCACCUAAUUUAUAUUAACAAAUUUUACUCUGGUGAUUUGUGGACUGGUUGCCUUUCAUUCCUUAGCCUUUAAUGUGUGAGGAAUAUGGUGGAAAAGCUGAUAUAAUACGUAGUCUCUUUGCUAUUCAUAGUGGGUGCAUCCACAUGAGACACUUUACUGCGCAUUAGUCUACAUGUGUGUAGUACUUACUGUAAAUUAGUCUAAUGCUCUGUUUGUUAGUACCAGGAAAUACAGGUACCAGAUUAAUGGCGCAUUAGCUACUGCACAGUAGCAUAUGUGUAGAUGCCUAAGCAGUAAGGGGCCUGGUGCUGUCUAGCUAAGCCUCCGUGCAGGGGGGAGCUGUGCUGGCUGCAGGGGAAGCUGUCUGCCCACCACGUGCCUGAGAGGGCUGUUUUUGGCAGCUGGGACUGCAGCAUCCCAACCACAUGGAGAUCAAGUCUAGACUCAAUCCCCACGUGGCUGGUAGAGCUGUCCCAGCAGCUGGGAGUGCUGUAUCACAGCCAUGUGGAGAUCGAGUCAGGACCCAAUCUCCAUGUGUCCAGGAGAGCCAUCCCUGUUUGGCAGGGAAGUUGCCUGCUAGCCAUGUGGGGAUCCCAAUUGGAUCUGCCUGCCAGCUGAGUGGGGAUGGCUGUCCUGGGCACAUGGGGACUGGGAUCAGUCCCCUGUGCCUCCUACCAGCCCAGGGGCUGGCACCUGGGGAAGCCUGGAGUUCCCCUUGGCUGCUGCAGGGGGCAGAGCAUGGCAGGAGAAGCCCUGGACUAGGCUGCUCCUGUCAGGUGCAAUUUCCUCCUGAUGGGGGCGCACGUGUAGAUGUGUGCCCUGGAGGGCUUUAAUGAGUUUGAAUUUUCUGUGAAGAAAAUUCAGCCGCACUAAUUCCAUGUGUAGAUGUGCCCAGUGUGAAGUAGAUUAGUUAAGUCACAUGAUAUUGUUUCUACUCCUUAGCUGGGAAUUAGAACUUUCAAAACAUACUGGUGAAAGAUUCAUGAAAAAAUGCAUUUUCUGGGAGUAAAUUUCAGAUGCACGAUCAUUUACACUAAAAUUCUUGAAGCUCUCAGAAUUUUGUGCAUGCUUUUAUAAAUAUGCGGUGAUGAGAACUAAUAGAGCUGGUCCACAAUUUCAAACCUAGGUACAAUGUUUCUAAUGUCAAAAUUUGAGGGGAAAAAAACCCAACAGUACAUAAUUAAAAAAACCAAAACCAAACUCAAAACAUGUACAUACAUUUGUGAUUUCCCUCUCCUUUUUAGAUUAUCCUUACCUUUGAACAAUGGAUUAUUUGUCUGUGUAGGUUUGCAAGUUAGUGCGUAUCUUCAGGUAUCUAAGUUUGUUCCUGUAGUAAGAAUGAUGAUAAUUUCUUUCUCUGCCAGCAAAUGUCAGUUCAAUUUAAUUAAUAUUGAACCAAAGAAUAGAAGCAUUGGUCUGAGCAAGGUUACAAACCCUAUGAAACUGGGACCAAAUGGUAGUAAAGCGAACCUGACAAAACACUGCAGCAAACAUAGUUUUUAAAUUCUCAGCAUUUUCUAGAGAUCAUUGUUUGCAUUCUUCAGCUGGCUCUCUACCUUUUUAACAUUUCCCUCUUCCUCUGUUUCUCUCUCUCUUUUCUAUUCUCAUCAAUUCUUUACUGAAACUGCUGUGUGAGAAUUGGUCAGAGAAACUUUUCUAUGUUAAAGUGCUUUCAGCGUAUGCAUAAGUGUUGGCAUUGUAACAGUACAAACUAACAGUAAACAAUAAACACUGCA